rnacentral:RNase_P_RNA from 1 species
GAAGCAAGCCAGACCGCCGCUGGCCCGAUCAGGGAAACCUGGGGCUGGAGGAAGGUCCGGACUGCAUAGAGCGGCGUAGCAGCUAACGGCUGUCCGGCGUGAGCCGAGGAUCAGAGCAACAGAGACGAGUCGAUCAAACGUGCGGGGUGCAAGCCCUGCGGGACCAUGAGCGCAGCCCAUGGGAUCGGGUGAAACGGGCAAUCUCUACGCGCAGCAACACCAAGUAGGCCAGUAUCGAGGCGGCUCGCUGAGCUGGCGGGUAGGUGGCACCGAGCCGGGCAGUGAUGCCCGGCCCAGAGGAAUGGCGGUCACAGGACCAAAGCCCGCAAGGGUCAGGUCUUGCACAGAAUCCGGCCUAUCGGCUUGCUUCACUC